UGCUGGCCGCCAAGCGCCAUGGCCUUCACAAGGUGCCACCGGGCCGCCGCCUGUCCGACUGCCCUCCUGGCCGUGGGGAGCAGCCUGGAGAUGGAGGAGCUGCUGCGCCGCGAAGGGCUCACGCGGCCCUACAGGGCCAUCGCCGACGGCCGGGUACCUCCUUCCGCACGCGAGCUCUCAAUCCCCCACCAAGAAGCCCAGCUCCCAUGCCGUCCCCGCCGUCGGCCGUGGGCUCAACCAGGGCUGCCUCCAUCGUGGGUCGUGGAUCUAGUAUUGUUUUGAUUUGUGUAUCCCCAUGGUGGGCCAUGGAGAGGAUGUUGUUUUCUUGAUUUUGAUUUUGGAUCUCGUGUUUUCUCUUUGAAUUGAGAGGUACUUGUACUUUGAUUGAUCCAUGAGAUACUUAUAAAGAUACUGUGAUUUUUUAGUACCAUCAUGUACCAUGGGUGCAUGACGAGGUACUAGUUUUUUAUGAACGUUUGUGCCGUGAUUUUGUCUUGGUAAAUGAUGUAUAUGAUUUGAUCUGACGAGGUACCUAUAAACUGUUAAGGUACAUGUGAUAUACCAUGUGAUGUACUCGUAUCAUAAGCUAAUGUACAUAACUUGUGCUGUGAUUUUGUCUUGGUACAUGAUGUACAUGAUUUGAUAUGCUGUUAAGGUACAUGUGAUAU
rnacentral:lncRNA from 1 species